AGGAUGAACGCUGGCGGCGUGCCUAAUACAUGCAAGUCGAACGGGGUGUUUGAGCAAUCGGACACUUAGUGGCGAACGGGUGAGUAACGCGUUGGUGACCUGCCCAAAGCGGGGGAUAACAGCCUGAAAGGGUUGCUAAUACCGCAUAUGAUGAUGAGAGACUAGAAACUUAUCAUUAAAGGAGAAAUCCACUUUGGGAGGGGCCUGCGUCCCAUCAGCUAGUUGGUAGGGUAAAAGCCUACCAAGGCGAAGACGGGUAGGGGACCUGAGAGGGUGACCCCCCACAAUGGAACUGAAACACGGUCCAUACACCUACGGGUGGCAGCAGUAGGGGAUAUUGCACAAUGGGCGGAAGCCUGAUGCAGCAACGCCGCGUGAGUGAUGAAGGCCCUCGGGUCGUAAAACUCUUUUCAAGAGGAAGAGGAAGGACGGUACUCUUGGAAUAAGCCUCGGCUAACUACGUG
rnacentral:rRNA from 1 species